rnacentral:rRNA from 1 species
GAUGAACGCUGACAGAAUGCUUAACACAUGCAAGUCAACUUGAAUUUGGGUUUUUUAACUUAGAUUUGGGUGGCGGACGGGUGAGUAACGCGUAAAGAACUUGCCUCACAGCUAGGGACAACAUUUGGAAACGAAUGCUAAUACCUGAUAUUAUGAUUAUAAGGCAUCUUAGAAUUAUGAAAGCUAUAUGCGCUGUGAGAGAGCUUUGCGUCCCAUUAGCUAGUUGGAGAGGUAACGGCUCACCAAGGCGAUGAUGGGUAGCCGGCCUGAGAGGGUGAACGGCCACAAGGGGACUGAGACACGGCCCUUACUCCUACGGGAGGCAGCAGUGGGGAAUAUUGGACAAUGGACCAAGAGUCUGAUCCAGCAAUUCUGUGUGCACGAUGACGUUUUUCGGAAUGUAAAGUGCUUUCAGUUGGGAAGAAAAAAUGACGGUACCAACAGAAGAAGUGACGGCUAA